rnacentral:hammerhead_ribozyme from 1 species
AUACACCUGACGAGUCCGAACUAGGGCGAAACGCACGUCCUGAAU